rnacentral:ribozyme from 1 species
UUUUCCUUUUUGCCCUUCUCUUUCCUCCCUUGCAACCAUGUUUUGCAGCAUCUCAGGAGAGCAAUGCAGAGAGCCUGUUGUCACCCCUGGAGGCAGGAUCUAUGAUCGCAGAGCACUUGAAAAUGCCCUCCAACAAACCCCAGGAAAGGAUCCUGUGAGUGGGG